rnacentral:rRNA from 1 species
CAUGCAAGUCGUACGAGAAAGUCUCUUCGGAGAUGAGUAAAGUGGCGCACGGGUGAGUAACGCGUGGGUAAUCUGCCCUUAGGUUUGGGAUAACCCCGGGAAACCGGAGCUAAUACCGAAUGAGACCACGACGACCUCGGUCGAUGUGGGAAAAGGUGGCCUCUUCUUGAAAGCUAUCGCCAAAGGAUGAGCCCGCGUUUGAUUAGCUAGUUGGUGAGGUAAUGGCUCACCAAGGCGACGAUCAAUAGCUGGUCUGAGAGGAUGAUCAGCCACACUGGAACUGAGAUACGGUCCAGACUCCUACGGGAGGCAGCAGUCAGGAAUAUUGGGCAAUGGGCGAAAGCCUGACCCAGCAACGCCGCGUGAAGGAUGAAGGCCCUCGGGUCGUAAACUUCUGUCGAGAGGGAAGAAUGCGUACGGGUGAACAAUCCGUGCGUUUGACGGUACCUCCAAAGGAAGCACCGGCUAACUCCGUGCCAGCAGCCGCGGUAAUACGGAGGGUGCAAGCGUUGUUCGGAUUCAUUGGGCGUAAAGCGAGUGUAGGCGGUUUGACAAGUCGGAUGUGAAAUCCCGGGGCCCAACCCCGGAACUGCAUCCGAUACUGUCUGGCUAGAGUCCCGGAGAGGGUGGCGGAAUUCCCGGUGUAGGGGUGAAAUCCGUAGAUAUCGGGAGGAACACCAGUGGCGAAGGCGGCCACCUGGACGGUGACUGACGCUGAGACUCGAAAGCGUGGGUAGCAAACAGGAUUAGAUACCCUGGUAGUCCACGCUGUAAACGGUGAGUGCUCGUCGUCGGGGGUAUUGACCCCUGCGGUGCGGUCGCUAACGCAAUAAGUACCC